UCCACUCCUCCUUCCAGGGCUUAAGAACUUAAUUACUUAAAUGUGCCAAGCAUUGAAUUUCAAAAGCAAAAGCUCAUGUGAAGAAGUCAACAUGCUGGACUGAAUAGAGUAUAGUCUAUCCUCCCAAAUCUGGCAUGAAUAAAAUAUGAAUCCAUAAUUGAAGAAAACUCUAUAUUUGGAUCAACAUAGUAUAUCAAUGGCUUUGGACAUUAACUUGAAAAUUAGCAAAAUCUUCACUAGUAAUGUUCUUCCUCUGAAUGUGGACAACAUCCCUUCUCAUAAGUCUCUCAGAAUUGUCCGGGAUCAUUGCAUUGCUGCUAGUUGAGAAGUGUAAUGGUGAAGGGAAUUGAAGUGUAUUGAAGAGGUAAGAAGAAGACAAAAGUCAUUUCCUCUCCAGCCCUACCCUUUGGAGGGAAUGUGUGGUUUUGCGUCUUUGGCUUUGGGGAAGUGACUGAGCAGUGGCAGUAAAAUGGGUUGAGAGAGGGGCACUGGGGUGUGUGUGUGUGUGUGUGUGUAGGAAAAGAGCCCCAGGAGCAA
rnacentral:lncRNA from 1 species